UGGUGCCAAAGUGAACUUGCUGCUUUCUGUUCAGGUCCUCUAAGAAUAAAGGGAAAAGCUGAAUUACGAAAAUCUUCCCCAACAUCUCCUGACAUCAUAGAGGAUAUCGUGAAGGAGUUACAGGAGGCAGCACCUGGGAUGGCCAGAGAGACAGUACCGAAGGAAGUACUUUGGAAAUUAAACGGCCGCACGCUGCCGCUCUCUGGGAAAGGGGCAGAGGCAACGCAGGCAACUGCCACACCAGCUGUUCUCAUAGGCUCUGCCUAUCCAACACCUCAGCCUCAUGUGGACCACGAGUCUCAGACCAAUCCAACAGCUAAGUCAGCGCAAGGAAGGAGCAUCCAGGUGCUGCAGAGCCCAAAUGUCAGACAGGCAUCCCUGCAGGAUGAUGCAGGAUGUUCCCUGUCCAGGCACGACCCCUGGUAUGCUCUCCUUCUGAGCUACUGAUGUAGGUGUUGAUGUGACAGAAACUUCUCACGGGUCUUUGCUUGCAGAAGUGUCCCCAGGGAGGGCUUUACCAGACCCUCGGCUGCUUCCUGCACUGGAGCCCAGCUGGUCUCCCAGGGGUCCUCUUAGAAGAAAGGGAAAAGCUGAUUUAAGAAAAGCUUCCCCAGCGUCCUCUGACAUCAUAGAGGAUAUCGUAAAGGAGUUAGCGAAGGCAGC